rnacentral:lncRNA from 1 species
GGACAACGAGGUUUUGUUACAGGAGCUAAUUUAGCCAGCACUUUUUCUGGAACACUUUUCAAGUUCUGUAUUUAACUGAGAUCAAGAACUGUUUGUUUGUUUGCUUUUCUAAAAAAAAAGAAGAAAAAAAGAAAAAAAAAAGAAAGAAAGCAGAGAAGAGGAAGAGAGAAGCCCCCUGGUUUUUUUUUUAAAUAAGAACUCACUCCGUCUCUGAACAACAUGGCUGUGAUUUUUGGACCAAGCCGUGUUGUCGUGUCCCCCCACACACACACCUCCCGCUCCACAGCCUCUAGCAGAAAGACAAUCGGACAGCAGCCGCCUCCUUCCCGCCCCCGCCUGCAUGUGUGUGAGCCGACAGAGGGAAGGCAGCGGAACAGAACUCGGGACGGCAACGGGAGGGGUUGGGGGGGGCUGGGAUUUUUUGUUGGUUGGUUUGAUUGGUUUUUCUACAAAAAUAAAUGAGAUCUGUGAACUCGAAGGAAAAACUUACAGCUGCCGACCGAGGACUUGGCUACGUCCCCUCUUCCGCCACGUUUGCCGUUUUGGAGGGUUUUGUUCAUUUUUUGUUCCCCAGUGUGUUUGUUUUUGGGGGUAUUUUUGUUGCUUGAUUUUUUUUUAUUUUUUUUGGAGAGCCAAAUAUAUAUAUAUUAAAAACUUCACCAGUGGAUCCCGGAGACACACCUAUUGCCUGCUUAUAUAAACAAAUGAGAAGACCCCACCCUCGCCCAUCCCAGCCAUGAGUUCACUACACCACAGUCUAGCAUCCACUGGCAACUCUGGGCAGGUUUUUUUUUCUUUU